rnacentral:rRNA from 1 species
AUUGAACGCUGGCGGCAGGCCUAACACAUGCAAGUCGAACGAGUGGCGGACGGGUGAGUAAUGUCUGGGAAACUGCCUGAUGGAGGGGGAUAACUACUGGAAACGGUAGCUAAUACCGCAUACCCUCGGAUGUGCCCAAAUGGGAUUAGCUAGUAGGUGGGGUAACGGCUCACCUAGGCGACGAUCCCUAGCUGGGCUGAGAGGAUGACCAGCCAAACUGGAACUGAGAAACGGUCCAGACGCCUACGGGAGGAAGCAGGGGGGAAUAUUGCACAAUGGGCGCAAGCCUGAUGCAGCCAUGCCGAGUGGAUGAAGAAGGCCUUCGGGUUGUAAAGUACUUUCAGCGGGGAGGCGUUACCCGCAGAAGAAGCACCGGCUAACUCCGUGCCAGCCGCCGCGGUAAUUC